rnacentral:rRNA from 1 species
GAUGAACGCUGGCGGCGUGCCUAACACAUGCAAGUCGAGCGAAAGGACGGGAAGCUUUCGCCCCGGAUGUUGGCGGCGGACGGGCGAGUAACACGUGGAUAACCUACCUACAAGACUGGGGUAACUACGGGAAACCAGAGCUAAUACCGGAUAAUUUUUUGAACUGCAGGGUUCAAAAGUGAAAGACGGUCUUGCUGUCAGUGAUAGAUGGAUCCGCGCUGCAUUAGCUAGUGGGUGAGGUAGAGGCUUACCCAGGCAACGAUGCAUAGCCGACCCGAAAGGGUGAUCGGCGACCCUGGAACUGAGCCAGGGUCCAGACUCCUACGGGAGGACGCAGUGGGGAAUCUUACGCAAGGGACGAGAGCCUGACGGAGCAACGCCGCGUGAGUGAUGAAGGUCUUCGGAUCGUAAAGCUCUGUUAUUAGUAGAGAACAAAUGUGUAAGUAACUGUGCACAUCUUGACGGUACCUAAUGAAAAAGCCACGGCUAACUACGUG